UUUGGGGGGGGUUCGAGGGGAUUAUGGUGGAUUUGAGGGGUUCUAGGGGUGGUAGACCAUCUCCAUGGGGUUUUUGAGGGUCUCUAGGGGUGGUGGGACGUGGUUAUGGGGGAUUUGGGGGGGAUCGGGGGGAUUAUGGGUUUUUUGAGGGUCUCUAGGGGUGGUAGAACAUCUCCAUAGGGUUUUUGGGGGGCUCUAGGGGUGGUGGGACGUGGUUAUGGGAUUUUUGAGGCGGUUUGAGGGGAUUAUGGGGUUUUUGAGGGUCUCUAGGGGUGGUAGACCAUCUUUAGGGUUUUUUUUGGGUUUUUUUUUGGGGUGUUGAGCCUGACCUGGCGGAUGUUCUGCCCCACGUACUCGAUGACCAUCUCGUCGGCGGCGAUGGGCUCCAUGGCGAAGAGGCCCCACUCGUGGAUGCGGCUGCGCCCGAACCGCAACCGCUUCUUCCGGAACUUUGGGGGGGGACACGAGGGUCACCGGGGGGGGGACAAACCCACCCCAGGUCCCCACGAAGACCCUCGUGGUGGAGCAGGACCUCAACGGUGUUGGGGACGCCCAAACGAAGAGCGUCGGCGACCCAACGUGGCAACGCAACGCGGCGUCAACCCAAGGUGUCACCAACCCAACCCAACGUGUCACCAACCCAACGUGUCACCAACCCAACGUGUCAUCAACCCAACGCGUCACCAACCCAACGCGUCACCAACCCAACGUGUCACCAACCCAACGUGUCAUCAACCCAACGUGUCAUCAACCCAACGCGUCACCAACCCAACGCGUCACCAACCCAACGNNNNNNNNNNCGUCACCAACUCAACGUGUCACCAACCCAACGCGGCGUUGACCCAAUGCAUCGUCACCCCAACGCAUCUCCAACCCAACGCGUCACCAACCCAACGCGUCAUCAUCCCAACCCAACGUGUCAUCAUCCCCACGUGUCAUCAACCCAACGCACUGCCCACCCAACGCGUGGUCAUCCCAAUGCGUCACCACCCAACAUGUCACCAACCCAACGCGUCGUUGACCCAACGUGCUGCCAACCCAACAUGCCGCCAACGCAACGCGUCGUCAUCCCAACACGUCACCAACCCAACACGCCGCCCACCCAACCCAACGCGUCAUCAUCCCAACGCGUCGUCAACCCAACGCAUUGUUGACCCAACAUGUCAUCAACCCAACGCGUCACCAACCCAACGUGUCACCAACCCAACCCAACGUGUCAUCAUCCCAACGUGUCAUCAACCCAACGCAUCGCCAACCCAACGCGUCGCCCACCCAACACGCGUGAAGACACGGGGCCAACCCAACGCGUCGCCAUCCC
rnacentral:lncRNA from 1 species